UACUGAACAACGGCCUGGGCAGCACCACCAGCUUCUCCAUCGAAGUUGGUACUGCCGCCAUAGCCUCCUCGUCCUC